GAUUUUCCUGUCUGCAGCAGCAGAAUCCGGAAGAAGAGAAGUUAUACAGUUGCCCAGCAGAGACGCCUCUUUGCUGUCUCAGCCUGGAGGCCUGUGGUAACAGUUGCAGUAGGAACACCCCACCUGGAAGUCUUCCAGUGGACAUCAUUGUAUCCUGGGAACCCACAAUUUCAUGGUCUUCACCAAGUUCUGGAUAGCCACAGCAGAAUCUAGAAGAUGAGAAGUUAUACAGUUGCCCAGCAGAGAUUCCUCUUUGCUGUCUCAGCCUCAAGGCCUGUGGUAACAGUUGCAGUAGGAACAUCCCACCUGGAAGUCUUCCAGUCAACAUCAUUGUAUCCUGGGAACCCAAAAUUUUCUGCUCUCCAUCAAGUUGUGGAUGCUGUGGCUGGGAGCAUUGCCAAUCAAACAGAAACUCAAAGAGGACAGAGAUCCAGGUACAGUGGACCCACUUGGAUCCACCUGCUUCUGGAAGCCUAGGCUCCUACCUCAUCUGGGACACAGUGAAGUGUUGCUGCAGUUUUACUGCCAAGUCCCUUUGCCGGGUGAGCAGCUCCUUCUGCUUCAUCAGGGACUGAAGAUUUUCCUAAAGUCUUUGAUGUUCCUGUUCAUUAGAAGAUUGUGUUUUUAGGAGAGGGUUUCCUGCACCCCUGUACAUACACACACAUGCACAUACACAAACACACACCACACACACACACACAAUUGAGCACACACAUAUAUGUGGAUGCAUACUACAUUACAUCUAUGUUUAGUUUCCCAGAUAACACUAAGGUAAGAAGAGACUACCUGGUACACUAUGGAGAAGUUAACUUUCCUUAACCCACACUCCCUCUACCCAUAUUCCAGCUGAGAGUCAGGAAAACACAGGAUGCUCUGAGCACAGGGAUGGGGAGAAGAUUGUGUACUUUUACUCUGUUUUAAUAUUUUUUCAUUUCAUUUUUACUUUAAAUGUGCAGGUGUUCUGCCUGCCUGUGUGUCUGUAUAACACAUGCAUGCCUGGUGCUCUGGAAGAACUCAGUGUGCAGAUCAGUCAAUGUAGUGCUUGCCUUAUAAACCUGUCCACAGACAGGUGAACCCCAGGGUUCCUUGACCAGUAAUUCAAGCUCUCCUAGCAAGUUCCCCAUCUGUGCAUUGAAGGCUUAGUUCCCCAGCACAGGACCACUGGAUGGCAGUGGACCAGCCCCUUGCUCUCUCUCAGUGCUACCCAGUGCCUCCAAGGAGGGCAGUUUUCUCCUAUGAAAGUUCUCUAUACCACAGGUUACCUCAAUUUAGGCCCAAAGCAACAUGCUCAGAAAACUAGAAAACCUCUAAAAUCAGGAGUCUAUGUUACCAUUUCUUCCAAGUAAGAUGAUUGUGUCAGGGAUUUCUUUAAGUAACAGAAGGUUGACUAACUCAGCCAAAUGAUUGCAUGUAUUAUUCCAUGCUUCACUAUAUUCCAUGGACCACAUUGCAUGUUUUCACUCAUCAACGAUGGGCAUCUGAAUAGUUUCUUGUUGGGAGUGCUGUGAUGAGUCCUGCUGUAACCCUAUUGUCCCCUAUUCUCUGUGGACACCUACUUUCCAUUCUGGAAUCAAUGGACCACUGGAGUCUGCAUUCAACAUUCUGAAUAAUUAUAUAUAGCUUCUCACAGGGCUGCACCAUCUUACACUACUAGCAAUGUCUGAGAGUUCUCAUUUCUCUCACCCCUCCAUCAGGCCAAUUUUAACUCAGUAUGAAGAAGUUUGGAAUAAAAGCAGGUUCUGAGUGCUGCAGACACAACAUGGAGUGGGUGCUUUAGAGUAUGGUGAGCCUAAGAGGUGCACUGAGACAGCCUCUUACACCUCAGCAUAGCUGUGGGACUUCCGCUGGGCUGAGAUGCAGCCACAAGCACCUCUGCAGUGCAGAAUUUCUCAGAGAAUAAAAUCCAGGCCAAGCCCCAUGGUCAAGAUUAGCUGAACCAAGGUUAGGCAAUGGUGAAAGGAAAAUGGCGGCAGGCGAUUAGGAGAAGAACAAAACAGGAUGCAGGGAAGUCAUCAGUGGUCAGCCACCAUUCACCCAGAACAGAGAAGGACACAAACCCUCAGGCACCUUUCCUGCCUCUCAGUAACCUCUUUCUCACCUUCAUGUACCCCAUUACUUUGUUUUUCUCCAAAGGAUUUCUUUGCAGAUAAAUAAUUCUGCCUCUACAAAGACCUGAAAAACUUUUACCUUGCAUCAAUUUUCUGUCUUUUCUUGUUGUUAGCUUUAUGGGUAUGCCAAAUGAUGAGCUGCUCCGUCAGUUCUUUGACUGAUGCAAAGUAGUACUAACCAGGUUAGGCACAGUACUUUCACAUUGAUGUCUGUCUGCAUCAUUCUUAAAGAUGUUCCAUUGUUCCAUGAGUGAGUGAACAUACACAUAGAGGCUCAAACACAUAUUCUCAUACCCACAUAGAUACACAUAAAGACAACACACAGACACACACACACACACACACACACACACACACACACACACACACACACUCCUUUCUUGAACCCAGAAGAGCAAGGCAGAAGACUAGAAUGUUACAGCACCUUUUCUACUCUAGGGGGUGGUAGUGGGUCCUCCCUGCUUUCUACAAGACUCAGACCCAUCCAGGCUCUUCUGCCCUGGCCUGAACUUAUUUCCCCUCCUAGGGAAGUUUUUAUCACCAGACUCACUGAUUGAACAGAAAAGUAACAACCUCUGCACAACUGAGUUUGACCACACAAAACCAAGUGCCCAUGGAAGAUGGCUGAAUAGGAAGCCUUCCGACAGAUCCAAGUUGACCCAUCAUAGACUCCUACUAAACCUACCCAGACUCCUCCACAGAAGGCAGUGAUAGACCAGAGAGUGGAAGUCACCAAUUGUCAUUACUUUACCCAAUAACUUUUGACCAGAUUACUGUGCAUAUUAUAUGAAAACAGUCCCAAGGAAGUCACUAGGAGGCUACUUAGGUCACCUACAGCACUUUUCUGAAAUGUGCACUUUAUACACUAUGAGGAGGAAUCUGUCCUAAGACACAGUCAUAUACAUGAUAGAGUGAGCAUCAAAAUAUCAGGUUCCAUAUUGUGUAGCCAGUAAGACAAACUAGAAAUAUCCUGGGAUGUUACCUCUAUGCUGUGAAAGAAAAGUCUAUGUUGAUUUUUCAAAUAGCUCCAUUGUUUGAUUUUUGCUAUUUAUUACAAAAUGCAUUAAUUUCAAAGUAAUAAAAAUGUAUAAAAAUUAAGAGAAACCAACAAGUCAGUUCUUUUUCUGACCAAAUGAAUCAUUUACAAUGAGAUGAGACAGAAAAAGACAUGAAGCUCUACUGUGAGGAGACAGGAGAUUCAAAGAUCUGUGGCUAUCCAGCUUAGGCAGAAGAGAAAAUUUCAGGUUCAGUGAGAGACCCAGGCUAAAGGGAAUAAGGGAGAAAGCAACAGAGGUCACUUGAUGUGGCCUUCCAACAAACUCACUAAUGUGUGCACCCUCAAGCUUGCAUACAACACACACGCAUACACACACACACACACACACACACACACACACACACAUGAAAUCAUAAGUGAACAAAACACAAUGAGGAGGACAUCAACCUAUUGAGGAUGACAUUACCAGUUGAAUUUAGACUCCUCACACUAACUGUUUCAAGUGAGACCCACAGUUCUGCUUUCCAUCAUUUUGAGACUAAACAUGCCUGGGGAAGCAUGCUGUGCUUCUGCAGGCUAAGUUGGUGCAAUUGGAGAAAUAAUUCUCUUAAAAUCUCAAAUCUGCCACCAUGAUGCCCAUCUGUCAUAAGCCCUUGCCACAUCCCUGGUAAUCCAGUGAGCUUCUGAGUGUAAGAUCCAGGAUGGGAGAACUGGCUCACAGAAAACUGUAUUGACAAACUGUUACUUAAGUUUCUGUCAGUGUGAACCAAGAGGUUGACCAGGUAAAGAGAACACCAUGGCAGUCGGGGAACAAGAGGGUAAAAUGCCAUAUGACACCCAAAAAGACGUCCACAAGACGCGGUCAUUUGGAUUUUGUAGGGGACGUUCCUCCUUCCAUACUGUUUCUGCCUCUGAUCUCAUAUGACCUGUGCAAAGCAAGUGAGAACAAGACCCUUGACCUCACUCACUCAGAUCUCUGUGCUACUCCCUGAGUGGCUCCCAUCAUAGCACCGCUCCUUCCAUACUAACAUAUUGGUGAGUGACAUGUGAUUUACCCAUCUCCCUUGAUGGACUGCAGCUUCUAGCAGAGCAGUGGGGUUUUCUUGCCAGUGAUGCAGUGCCUUCCAAGAGGCUAACUCCCCAGAAAGACUUGUGAAUGAUCACAGAAAUGAACAAUUCGAUGGGAUGGGUCAGGUGGAUAAGUGAGUAGAUGGUUACAUGGGUGUGUGUAUAUGUGUGUGUAUGGUUAGACAAGUGGGGGCUUGGCCCUGCUGCUUCAACCUACCUGCUGCUGCUUUGUCCAGAGAUCAUAGAUCUUCCCAUAGGCCUCCUCACAGAGCCUCCUCGCCUCCUCGCAGGACUCUUGUAGUAAAAUCUGUUCCCCCUGCAGCUUUCUGUUGUCCUCUUUCAACAUGCUCACUUUUUCCUCAAGCUGAGUCCAUUCACUCAGGAGCUGACUGUAGAGGGUGCUGAAAUAUCACCAAAGAUGAUGAGCUCCACCUCCAUCUGCCACUCCUGCCUCCUAAUACCAUCCUUCCUGCAAGGUCCCAUGUCCCCAUCCCCAGAUCCCUGGGAUGAACGCACACUAGCCAUGCCAGCAUGACUCAGGUGCAGACUAAAGCCAGAGAAUAGCCAAAUUACAGAAAGAUUCAAACUACUUCUGAAUACCCUGAUAGCAAAAGGGAUCCAUGUAACUCUGAAAACUGGAUCUCCUACCUCUCCAUCGCACACCCUGGUGCUUCCCUAUUCACAGUAUUGAGAAAACAUGAGCAGGUAGAGGGAAACCAUGCUCUGAGGGGUUAAAAUACCCGAUGUAAAUACAUUCCAUGUUUCCCAUAGAAACCAGCUCUGUAAGCUCCUGCCAGAGCCACAGAAAACAUUCAUGGUGCAAACCAUGUUUUCUCUCUAGAAGCUCCAGAAGGUGACAGGAAAAUGUUAGGAGGGGCUCUCAGACUCUUCACUCUUAGGAGAACUCAGUUUCAGAGGCACAAGUCCAAGAGCUAUCAGACAGGCUGCUUGCUAAGAGGUAAACAGGCUAAAACUACAGCCCAACUUUGUUCAAAGGUGAAGAAGGGGAGAAGCUGCUGUGGAAUGUCUUUCUGUAUGCUGUGAAUAUGUAUUGCUCCCAUUGGUUAAUAAAUAAGCUGCUUUGGCCUAUGGCAAAGCAGGAUGGAGCCAGGCAGAAAAAUCCAGGAGAGUCAGAGAAGAAAGUCAGAUGUGGAGGAGAUGCCAGCUGCCACCCAGGAAAGGCUGAGUGUCAAAAGGGAAGGAGACAGCGCUACAUGAGCUCCCUCAGUACACCUAGAGGGGCAGACUAGCUGGCUAAGAGGAUCUGAGGAGUCUGUGCCACAGAAUGGGGUCUAUCUGAAAUCUGCAAUGACAUUCCCACUGUCUUGAGAACAGAGAUUCUUUCUCCUUACAAGAUACCCAGAACUCAUAAUCAGUAUUUCUAUGGAGGAGGCACUACAUGAGGAUGGCUUUAUAAACACCCAAGGGGAUUCCAAUGAGGGACCAGGAUGAGCACAAAGGCUGAGAGCAGUGAUAUUCAAUGUGGGGCUCCCUGGCCUCAGCACCUACAUCACCUGAAAUCUUUGAGACAUGUGAAUAUUCAGGCCUACUAUCAAGCUCUGUCUCUCAGGAUCAGGAAGGACACACACACACACACACACACACACACACACUCACUCACACUGUAAGUGAGCCUCUCAGAGACAAUACAGAACACACAAAGACACCCAAUCCUCAGCAAAAGGAGAUUUAUUAACCCAGCAGGGCAAGCAUAGUUUGGGAGCCUGUCUCUUGAUCAGACGAAGGCAAACAGCAAGCAGCAGGCUUUUUUAACAGUGGGGUUUUAAGUAGAAAAGGUUAAGUCUGUGCUGGGUAAAUUGUUGAGCUCUGAAGGGACAGGUUAGCCAGUGUAACCAGGUAAUGAAUUUAAAUUGUUGGACUUUGGUGUUUAGCUUCAAGAAUGAGUCAGACUCCACAAAAGGAAAUGGACUUUGGGGACUAAAUUUGGAAUGUAAUCUAAUGGUUUAUCAAGGGAGAGGGAAGUGAAAAGGGAAAAACCUGCCACUGCCAUGUUUCCAACGUUUGGGCCCCUUAGAGAGCAGUUCACAAACAUAAUUCCACACACAGUUAGGAUGUCAAAGAAAUGCAGGUAGGGGGCAUUGUCUCAUAGUAAAAGGAACAAGACUAGAGAGGAGCAGGGAUGAAAUCCAGGCCUUCCAGACACACAGAUGGACCGAGUAGGACCACAAGGCCUUUCAGGCUGUUCCCAGAGCAAAAAGCAAUAAAGUAAAAAAUAAAAAAUAAAAAUAAAAAUAAAAAAUAAAAAAAAUAAAUACUCAAAUAUAAACACUCAACCCAGAGUACCAAGCAACUCCUAAAAGCCAAUGUCUGUCAAGGCCUCUUGAAAUGCAUGUUGUGAUCUUACACACUACUGCCCCUCUGUAGAUUGUGAUUCAGGCCACAAGCUCUGGUUUUCAUUUGGAGGAAUCAGAACAGCCUUUGUCCUAUCUCACUCCUACAGGCUUCAGUUCUGCCUCUCAGAUGCACUCAGGACACAGUAGGGCCAAUACAGUCACCAGAGAACAGGGCGAGAUGAAUACCUGUUGUUCAACUCAUUGUUGUUAUAAAGAGCCAGGAAUUCAAGCAGUUCAAUCCUCUCAUUGGUCAUCAUCUGUAGCUGAAGGGUCAGUUUAUCCACCUGGUUCAGCUGUUGCUGAUUGGUGAACCCUAUACACAGUUAAUGAAUGCCUCAAGGGCAGUUGGCAUGGCCACAACACUGGUGAUUUCACAAAAGAUGCCAAGGACUCUCCAGGAUACAACAGAAUUUCCAGAGAAGGGACUGUUAGGGUCACUGCCAACAGCCUUCACCUAUCUUAUAACAAGCUCUUCCCCAAUUCACCAAAAGCCAAGCUGCCCUUUCCAGGGGCCUUCCCUGAGACACAGGGGAAGGCCUUCAGCACCUCCUCCUUCCAAUCCAGAGAUCUCUCUGAUUCAUUAGAAUCUAGUAUAUUCUAAUUCAAUAGUUCAUCAUGUAUGGAGGGCAAGACUCAUUUUCCAAACUGUGCCAGGAAUGGCUGUUCUCAUCUUGAUGAUCUCUAACUAACAAGAUGAGAAAUAAGGAUGCUAAGAACUUAACUCAGUAUAAUAUGGAAGCACAACGGAUGUGCUCGCUAUCAGUUCCACGAGGUGAAUAAGCACAUCAGAGAAGAUCCACAGGGUAGUUACAAUAUGAGGAUAGUGGAGGAUUAUGUGGUUCCUGUCAGAAUAAUGAUAAGUAAAAUAGGUAAAGAUGAAACUUUUACCUAAAGCUUCAGGAGAAUACAUUCCAUCCAUCAUGAUGUUAGCAAAGUUGUUAUCAACCAUUGAAAGUGUGACUGAAAAUACCUAUGAACUGGGCAUCCACAGGUGAGCCCUCUGACACCAAGAACAAAUACUUACAGGAAGAGUGAUGUCCCAGUUUGCACUCAAGGUAGAGGGAAGAGGACUGGCGAGUGAGAGGAAAGAAACUCAGAAACCUUAGGGGUCACUGACAUGCAGCAAUACUUGGUGGCUCCUGCCCUGCUAGUGGGUUGUUAUUUAAACUGUGAGAACCUCUAGCUCUGGCCAGAGGACUUUACUCUCCUUGUUAUUAGUGAUACACACCAAAAGACAUCCAGUGUGGGUGAAGUGCAUGGCUGGUACUGAAACCUCUUUAGUCCCUCUGUGCUUCCUUCCCACUCAGAGGGAAAGCAGAGGGCCCUCAACAGAACAGCUGCAGCCUUGACCAUCCCUGGCUCUCUGCCAAACUAACCUUGAAAAAUCCUCAACUUUGUUCUGCUCUUGAAGAACUCAGAGGACUAGAUAGGCCCAUGGCUUCUCAGAAACUCUCACCCCCUUAGCCCCACUCCUUGAAGGAUCAGCUGAAGCCUUCCUCCUUCAGGAAGCUCCCCAUCCCUUUCCCAGGACUCACUGCGCUUUCCCCAGAACCAUUUAUUUCUUGAUGUGUGACAUGGAGACUGAAGGGCAUCUUCCUUCUGCCUCCCUUUGGUCUCCCUGUGCUCGCCAUCCUGUCUCCCAAGAAUCCUGUUCAGUCUAGUCAGCAUGUAUGUAGAUGGAACACGAGACACUGCACAAAUUCCCCAAUGACAGUUGGUGUUGCCACAACACUGGUGACAUCACAUGGAAUACCAGGGGACAGCUCCAGUCUGGAGAGCGAGGGGAUAAAUUUCUUUACAAUCAAAUCUCUGCCUCACUGUCAGUCUCAGGAGUCAGAUCUAUCCCAGAGGAGCUUCACAAGAGUAAAUCAGUCAUUUGGAGGAACUUUCUCAAUAUAACCUGAGAUCUGCUGUGAUAAAAGAGAAGCGUCAGUCACCUCUCACCUUUUUAGUCUUGCACAGAAUCACUCUGUACCAGAGACAUGUGGCCCCUGAUGCAGUCUCUAUCCACUCCACCUAGUCAUGAGGUUCCUCCCAUCAUUGCUUAUCAGGACCGUCAUGAGGGAUUCCUCAUCCUACCUACACCACCAGGAGGGUCUAUUCUAUUCUGCAUUUUAUUAGACGGGCUUAAUAGGUUUUGUCAACCUAGAAGAGAUCUAGCAAAUCUGUUCCAAUCUGACAGUCAGUGAGACUGCGGCAGGAUCCUGAACCUAUGAGAGCCCUAAAUGGAUGUGUGGCAGCCUAAGACAAUUAGCAUACCUGUCCCUACAGGUUCCAAGAAACUUCAGUCUUUGGUUGGGAGUGAACCAAUCGAACUAAAACAGCACACAUGGCUGGGAGGACCAAGGUCAAUUGCAGGGACUGUGGAGAUGGCUCAUCCAUUAAGAGCAUUUAUUGCUAUCUCAGAAGAGCCACAGGACACCUAACAAACCUUUUUAACUUAAAUUCCAGGUGGACUCUGCCCUCACCUGGCCCCUGUGGGAAUUGCAUGUACAUGGUGGCAAAACACCAGAAGUAUAAAGAAAAGCACCACAAAAUAUCCCAACAUGCAUUAAAGGAAUUAUCUCUGCUGUU